GACGAAGGUGGCGAGCGUUGUUCGGAAUCACUGGGCAUAAAGCGCACGUAGGCGGCGACGUAAGUUGGGUGUGAAAUCCCUCGGCCCAACCGAGGAACUGCGCCCAGUACUGCGUUGCUUGAGGAUCCAAGGGGUGCAUGGAAUUCCCGGUGGAGCGGUGAAAUGCGUUGAUAUCGGGAGGAACUCCGGCGGCGAAAGCGGUGCACUGGUGGAUUACUGACGCUGAGGUGACGAAAGCCAGGGGAGCAAACAGG
rnacentral:rRNA from 1 species